rnacentral:rRNA from 1 species
GAUGAACGCUGGCGGCGUGCCUAAUACAUGCAAGUCGAACGAACAGACGAGAAGCUUGCUCCCCGGACGUUUGCGGCGGACGGGUGAGUAACACGGGGAUAACCUCCCUAAAAGACGGGGAAAACUUCGGGAAGCCGGAUAUAAUACCGUAUAAGAUAUUGAUCCGUAUGAUUUGAUAAAGAGAUACGAUUUUGUCGCCACCAAUUGAUCGAUCCGCGCCGCAUUAGCUAGUUGGUAAGAUAACGGCUUACCAAGGCAACGUUGAGUAGCCGACCUGAGAGGUGGUCCGGCCACCCGGGAACUGAGACACGGUCCGGCUCCCUACGGGAGGCACCAGUGGGGAAUCUUCGCCAUUGGGCGAAAGCUUGACGGAGCAACGCCGCGUGGUUGAGAAAGGUCUUGGGUUCGUAAGACUCGUUUAUUAGGGAGGAACAAUUGUGUAAGUAAAUAUUCACGCCUUGACGGUACCUAAUCAGAAAGCCACGGCUAACUACGUG